CAGUAGCCGCGGUAAUACGUAGGGUGCAAGCGUUAAUCGGAAUUACUGGGCGUAAAGCGUGCGCAGGCGGUUAUAUAAGACAGAUGUGAAAUCCCCGGGCUCAACCUGGGAACUGCAUUUGUGACUGUAUAGCUAGAGUACGGCAGAGGGGGAUGGAAUUCCGCGUGUAGCAGUGAAAUGCGUAGUUAUGCGGAGGAACACCGAUGGCGAAGGCAAUCCCUUGGGCCUGUACUGACGCUCAUGCACGAAAGCGUGGGGAGCAAACAGGAUUAGAUACCCGGGUAGUCCCUGUCUCUUAUAC
rnacentral:rRNA from 1 species